rnacentral:rRNA from 1 species
AGCGUAGGUGGCCUAACAUGUCAACUGUGAAACCCGGAGCUCAACUCCGGACUUGCAGUUGAAACUGGUAGGCUUGAGGACGGUAGAGGAAGACGGAACUGCCAGUGUAGGGGUAAAUCCUUAGAUAUUGGCAGGAACGCCGGUGACGAAGGUGGUUUUCUGGGCCGGUUCUGACACUGAUGCUCGAAAGCCAGGGGAGCGAACG